rnacentral:rRNA from 1 species
AUUGAACGCUGGCGGCAUGCCUUACACAUGCAAGUCGAGCGGCAGCGCGGGGGCAACCCUGGCGGCGAGCGGCGAACGGGUGAGUAAUACAUCGGAACGUGUCCAGUAGCGGGGGAUAACCUGUCGAAAGAUAGGCUAAUACCGCAUACAACCUACGGGUGAAAGCGGGGGACUCUCGGGCAACUGAGGGCCUCGCACUAUUGGAGCGGCCGAUGUCGGAUUAGCUAGUUGGCGGGGUAACGGCCCACCAAGGCGACGAUCCGUAGCUGGUCUGAGAGGACGACCAGCCAAACUGGAACUGAGACACGGUCCAGACUUCUACGGGAGGCAGCAGUGGGGAAUUUUGGACAAUGGGCGCAAGCCUGAUCCAGCCAUGCCGCGUGAGUGAAGAAGGCCUUCGGGUUGUAAAGCUCUUUCGGCGGGGACGAAACGGUCCGUGACAACACCACGGACUAAUGACGGUACUCGCAGAAGAAGCACCGGCUAACUACGUGCCAGCAGCCGCCGUAA